UACGUAGGGUGCAAGCGUUGUCCGGAUUUAUUGGGCGUAAAGAGCUCGUAGGCGGUCUGUCGCGUCGAAUGUGAAAGCCCAGGGCUCAACCCUGGGUCUGCAUCCGAUACGGGCAGACUAGAGUAUGGCAGGGGAGACUGGAAUUCCUGGUGUAGCGGUGAAAUGCGCAGAUAUCAGGAGGAACACCGGUGGCGAAGGCGGGUCUCUGGGCCGAUACUGACGCUGAGGAGCGAAAGCGUGGGGAGCGAACAGG
rnacentral:rRNA from 1 species